UUUUCCUCCUAAAGAUGAACCCAAAUUCGACAGAGUCGUUCCAAAUAUAAAACUAAAGAAAAUAUUUUAUGAGGAAGACAAAAUCAGAGCUAUGUUUCAAAGGAAUAAUAAACAAAACUUAGGUUCAACAAAUCUCUUUAAUGAAAAUUACCAAUCACUGACACAGAAGUUUCUUGAAAUUCAUCAGAAAAUUCACAAACAAUAUGAUGGUGAUAUGACACCUGAACAAAUGUACAAAGCAGCUAUUGAGAUUCUGAAAUCAGAGCGAACUGGAAAAACAGAAGAUAAGGACCAAGUUAGUCUGAGCACAGCAUUCAAAGAUGCACUAUCUGACCAUUCAAAGGAAAAGAAAGUUGAUAUAUCUAUAGCAAAUAUUUUCAAAUAAUGUAUAUUUAGUGCAAAGUAGACAAUUAUAAUGAGACUUUAGAAGUUU